rnacentral:tRNA from 1 species
GGACAGAUGACCGAGCGGUUUAAGGUACCAGUCUUGAAAACUGGCGUGCGUGCGAGCGUACCGUGGGUUCGAAUCCCACUCUGUCCG